UUCACGUUUUACUAACUCGUAUAUUAUCAUUAUUAAAAAUGAAUUUCUAUUUUCGUUUUGGAAUAUUACUUUGUUUCAUGUGUUUAAAUGCCAUACCUACGUUUUCAACUGGGGCGCCAAACUCCAAAAGAAAUCCGCUAGAUGAAGAAUAUGUUCUCAAUGAAGUGACUGAUUCAGAUGAGGAAAAUGAACCCUAUGAAGUGAUUGAUUCAGAUGAGGUGAGGUAUAACAAUUAUUAAAA